UUUUAUGGAGAGUUUGAUCCUGGCUCAGGAUGAACGCUGGCGGCGUGCCUAAUACAUGCAAGUCGAGCGAACGGACGAGAAGCUUGCUUCUCUGAUGUUAGCGGCGGACGGGUGAGUAACACGUGGAUAACCUACCUAUAAGACUGGGAUAAAUUCGGGAAACCGGAGCUAAUACCGGAUAAUAUUUUGAACCGCAUGGGGCAAAAGAGAAAGACGGACUUG
rnacentral:rRNA from 1 species